rnacentral:rRNA from 1 species
GUAGGUGGUUUGUUGCGUNGUCUGUGAAAUUCCGGGGCUUAACUUCGGGGUGGCAGGCGAUACGGGCAUAACUAGAGUGCUGUAGGGGAGACUGGAAUUCCUGGUGUAGCGGUGGAAUGCGCAGAUAUCAGGAGGAACACCGAUGGCGAAGGCAGGUCUCUGGGCAGUAACUGACGCUGAGGAGCGAAAGCAUGGGGAGCGAACAGGAUUAGAUACCCUGGUAGUCCAUGCUGUAAACGGUGGGCGUUAGGUGUGGGGACCGGUUUGGUUUCUGUGCCGUAGCUAACGCAUUAAGCGCCCCGCCUGGGGAGUACGGCCGCAAGGCUAAAACUCAAAGGAAUUGACGGGGGCCCGCACAAGCGGCGGAGCAUGUGGAUUAAUUCGAUGCAACGCGAAGAACCUUACCUGGGUUUGACAUGCACCAGACGGUUGUAGAGAUACGUACCUCCCUUUGUGGUUGGUGUGCAGGUGGUGCAUGGUUGUCGUCAGCUCGUGUCGUGAGAUGUUGGGUUAAGUCCCGCAACGAGCGCAACCCUUGUCUUAUGUUGCCAGCACUUUGGGUGGGGACUCAUGAGAGACUGCCGGGGUUAACUCGGAGGAAGGUGGGGAUGACGUCAAAUCAUCAUGCCCUUUAUGCCCAGGGCUUCACACAUGCUACAAUGGUUAGUACAACGCGCUGCGAACCUGUGAGGGUGAGCGAAUCGCUGAAAGCUAAUCUCAGUUCGGAUUGGGGUCUGCAACUCGACCCCAUGAAGUCGGAGUCGCUAGUAAUCGCAGAUCAGCAAUGCUGCGGUGAAUACGUUCCCGGGCCUUGUACACACCGCCCGUCACGUCAUGAAAGUUGGUAACACCCGAAGCCCAUGGCCUAACCACCGUUUGGUGGGGGG